GACGAACGCUGGCGGCGUGCUUAACACAUGCAAGUCGAACGGAAAGGCCCCUUUGGGGGUACUCGAGUGGCGAACGGGUGAGUAACACGUGAGUAACCUGCCCUUGACUUCGGGAUAACUUCAGGAAACUGGGGCUAAUACCUGAUAGGAAUCCUUGCUGCAUGGUGGGGGUUGGAAAGCUUCGGCGGUUUUGGAUGGACUCGCGGCUUAUCAGCUUGUUGGUGGGGUAGUGGCUUACCAAGGCUUUGACGGGUAGCCGGCCUGAGAGGGCGACCGGCCACAUUGGGACUGGGAUACGGCCCAGACUCCUACGGGAGGCAGCAGUGGGGAAUAUUGCACAAUGGGCGGAAGCCUGAUGCAGCAACGCCGCGUGCGGGAUGACGGCCUUCGGGUUGUAAACCGCUUUCAGCAGGGGCGAAGCUUGUGGUGACGGUACCUGCAGAAGAAGCACCGGCUAACUACGUG
rnacentral:rRNA from 1 species